AGCUCUCAGGGAAGUACAGUGUUCAAUACACAGGUGGAUAUUCACAGGGCUGGGCUGUCAAUGUGCAGAGGUUCUAGCUCUCAGGUAUGUACAGCGUUCAAUACACAGGUAAGUAUUCACAGGGCUGGGCUGUUAGCGUACAGGGGUUCUAGCUCUCAGGUAAAUACAGUGUUCGAUACACAGGUGGGUAUUCACAGGGCUGGGCUGUUAGCGUGCAGGGGUUCUAGCUCUCAGGUAAGUACAGUGUUCGAUACACAGGUAAGUAUUCACAGGGCUGAGCUGUUAGCGUGCAGGGGUUCUAGCUCUCAAUGUAAGUACAGUGUUCCAUACACAGGUAAGUAUUCACAGGGCUGAGCUGUUAGCGUGCAGGGGUUCUAGCUCUCAAUGUAAGUACAGUGUUCCAUACACAGGUAAGUAUUCACAGGGCUGAGCUGUUAGCGUGCAGGGGUUCUAGCUCUCAAUGUAAGUACAGUGUUCCAUACACAGGUGAGUAUUCACGGGGCUGGGCUGUUAAUGCGCUACUCACCACUGAAGAUAUUCAGAGGUCUGUAUUCCAAGCAGAUACGGGUUUAGUCGAUGACUGACGGCUGGUGGGCCUUACAGAUGAAACUGCAAACAAUACUGGGCUUCCCGCCCAGCUUGACAAGGGGGCACACGGGGGAGGAUCGGCUGUUGUCCUUCGCUUCCAGGGAUUGCUGCGUGGGCAACGACAUCCAACCUCCUCCAGAGGCGCCUCCAACACGUCCGAGCUCCAGCUUACUUAAGGUAAAGACUGUGGUUGCCACCAAUACACUACUCCUCUCCGUCAGGCCUCUUCCUACGACCAGGGACACAACCACGGACAAACACCACACACCACAAAGGCACUACAAUUCUUCUCGUGUGUACACUUCAAUAUAGCAGCACUCACCACACUCCACACACUCAGUGAAAGAAGAUCGGUGGUGUAUUCCCGUUUCGGGCUCAGAGUCCUGACAGGGCGGGUCAGAUGGACAAAGGCAGGAGGGCAGACCACAGCAGGCAGAUAUAUCGUACACCGGAGUCUCUCCGUCUUUCCCAGCGAUCUCCAACGCAAGGCACUACUAUCAACACUGAGUAAACACACAAGCACUGAGGAUUAUCAGAUCAACACAAGAGGGAGGGGGAUUUUCCACUGCUACGGAGAGAUAUGCAGUCGGAAUCCUUUCUUAAAGGCGGUUAGUCUCCCUCCACAUCCGUCAUUCACUCUCCAUAAUAUACAAGAAAUGUUC